GGAAUAUUGCACAAUGGGCGGAAGCCUGAUGCAGCGACGCCGCGUGGGUGACGAAGGCCUUCGGGUCGUAAAGCCCUUUUCCACGGGAAGAUAAUGACGGUACCGUGGGAAUAAGCCCCGGCUAACUACGUGCCAGCAGCCGCGGUAAUACGUAGGGGGCGAGCGUUGUCCGGAUUUACUGGGCGUAAAACGCUUGUAGGUGGCCACGCCAAGUCGGAUGUGAAAUCUCCCGGCUUAACUGGGAGGGGUCAUUCGAUACUGGCGGGCUCGAGGCAGGUAGGGGGAAGCGGAAUUCCCGGUGUAGUGGUGGAAUGCGUAGAUAUCGGGAGGAACACCAGUGGCGAAGGCGGCUUCCUGGACCUGUUCUGACACUGAGGAGCGAAAGCGUGGGGAGCGAUC
rnacentral:rRNA from 1 species